AGGGCUCUGCCGACAGCGUCCUCUGCCCACACUAGCCUGCUGCCCUCCCUCCUCCCCAGUUACGGGGAUGGGCAGAAGGCACCUGCUGGGCCCUCCAGCACCUAGUUCCGCCUGGCCGCAGGGCCUGUGACAACCUGGGCCCCCACGGUUCUGCUACCUGAGCGCCUCCUUCAGGCACCUCCCGCUGGUGUGUUCCUGGGUCCCUGUGCGCUUUCUGUUUCGCUCGGAGGCACCCUGGGUGUGAAGCUCAUGUGAUGCUCAGCUCUGUCACCGGUUUCCACAUACCAAAACCAAACGAUUUCACCACGUGCUCUGGGAGUUUUAGGAUGGACGCGGAUAAAGCAUUUUUUAAAGACAACCUGAAACGUCACACUGACUGCAACACAGGAUGUGUUCAGAUUAGAAGACCCUAUCUCCACUACUGAUGCAUCACCAGAUCCAUCCCAAGUGGACUCCUCUCCUCCUACAGCCUUUCUCGAGAUCCCUGCCUGGAAGUGACCCCUCCCUUUCCAAGCCCCAGAUCAUUCAUAUACUGCGUGGAGUUAGGAUGAUGUUUCUCCUGUCUUUUCACGUGGCCCCUGCUCACAGGCAGUGAAUGCCCUGGAGGGCCAAAGACCAGAGAAGAAACUCAACACAAGCCGCUUGAAGGCGACGGGAGGAGGAAGAAGAAAGCAGGAAAUCAUUGCAAGCAGGGUGGGCAUGGACGAUGGGGGACAAGGCACUCACAGACUGCAUCACCAUGGGGUUCUUUUCAAGGACGGACUGGGGCUUUCUGGCCUUGGCUGAGGACCACCCAACAGUCUGAGCUCUCCUCCCGGACAUGGCAGCUAUGGGGCAACCUCAUGGACUAUUCAGGAAAGUGAGAAAGAUGGAGUCUAUGGGGGAUGCGAGGUCAGGCAGUCAGGAUACAGUUCCGAGGGUGUUAAAAUCCACACCCAGUGAUCCUGGCCCUCUGGCUGUGUCCAGGGCACGAGAGCGAGUGUGUCAAUAUUUGUCCUGAAGCUAGUGUCGUAGAGUUGGAUGAGACCUCAGACACCAACUGACCCUUGGCCCCCACAUGUCAGGAGGGCAACUCGUCCUCAGAGGAGACAGCUUGCUCUGGUCACCAAGUGGGAGGGUGGCAGAGCCUUGAGCAACUGGACAUUGGACCACCCUGCCCAGAGCACUUCUUUCUUCCCUGCUGCUGCCUCUGGAGGGGACUUCAGAGACAGAAGGCACUUGGUGCUCGUUUCUGAGCCCCCUGUCCAGGGCCCUAGACCCACAGAUUGACCCUCUGGGCCCACAGGCCUGGAUUCCUUGAUAGGAAAGCUCUCAAGGGCUGAAUAAGAAUCGCGCAGUCGGCCAGCUACUCUGACAUAGCACCUCUUCCGGAACACAAUUGCGAGGCUAAGGCCCAAAAAGCCCUUAGUACAGUGCCUGGUUCACAGUAGGCAGUUUUUACUGUAAAUUGUGAUUUCUUUGGAGGAGAAGCCCACAGAACCAAGCAAACAAUAAGUGGAUGUGAAGAGGGAGGUGUGGGCCCAGGUCCUACAAACUCCCAAACCUGUACCUUGCAAAAAAGUGUGAUUUGGAGUA